rnacentral:rRNA from 1 species
UGGCGGACGGGUGAGUAGCGCGUGGAAAACCUGCCGUAUACUGGGGGAUAACACUUAGAAAUAGGUGCUAAUACCGCAUAAGCGCACAGCUUCGCAUGAAGCGGUGUGAAAAACUCUGGUGGUAUACGAUGGUUCCGCGUCUGAUUAGCUAGUUGGUGGGGUAAUGGCCUACCAAGGCAACGAUCAGUAGCCGGCCUGAGAGGGUGAACGGCCACAUUGGGACUGAGACACGGCCCAAACUCCUACGGGAGGCAGCAG